AUACGGAGGGUGCAAGCGUUAUUCGGAAUCACUGGGCGUAAAGGACGCGUAGGCGGGUUGGCAAGUCAGAUGUGAAAUCCUACAGCUUAACUGUAGAACUGCAUUUGAAACUGCUAACCUAGAGUAUGGGAGGGGGAGAUGGAAUUAGUGGUGUAGGGGUAAAAUCCGUAGAUAUCACUAGGAAUACCGAAAGCGAAGGCGAUCUCCUGGAACAUAACUGACGCUGAGGUGCGAAAGCGUGGGGAGCAAACAGGAUUAGAAACCCUAGUAGUCC
rnacentral:rRNA from 1 species